UACGGGAGGCAGCAGUGGGGAAUAUUGCACAAUGGGCGAAAGCCUGAUGCAGCUAUGCUGCGUGUAUGAAGAAGGCCUUAGGGUUGUAAAGUACUUUCAUCGGGGAGGAAAAACAAAACUAAUAAUUUUAUUUCUUGACGUUACCCGAAAAAGAAGCACCGGCUAACUCCGUGCCAGCAGCCGCGGUAAUACGGAGGGUGCUAGCGUUAAUCAGAAUUACUGGGCGUAAAGAGCACGUAGGUGGUUUUUUUAAGUUCAGAUGUGAAAUCCCUGGGCUUAACCUAGGAACUGCAUUUUGAAACUGAAAUACUAGAGUAUCGUAGAGGGAGGUAGAAUUCUAGGUGUAGCGGUGAAAUGCGUAGAUAUCUGGAGGAAUACCUGUGGCGAAAGCGGCCUCCUAAACGAAUACUGACACUGAGGUGCGAAAGCGUGGGGAGCAAACAGGGAUUAGAUACC
rnacentral:rRNA from 1 species